AUCUGUGUUGCAAGAUCGUCAC
rnacentral:siRNA from 1 species